rnacentral:lncRNA from 1 species
UAGGCCCCACCUGGGCAGACUAGGCAGAUUGAAGUCACCUGUGCCAGGUGCCAGGUCACCAAACUGAGCUUAAAAUAGUAUAGAAUGGACAUUCUAGAAGUGCAGAUUAGAUCUAAGAUGAAGAACCCAAUGGUUGGCCUUAAUAACUUGUUGAACACAGAAAGGGACAGGACUAAUAAGCCGGAAGACAGAUCAAUAGAAGAUAUCCAUGUUGAAGCAUGGAGAGGAAUUUGGAGAAAAACGUACACGUUCCAUGAAAAACCCAAAUUCCCAAAGCUGACAAAAUAAUACUGAAAAAAUACAAAUAGCUUGAUUCCCAGGGGCCUGAGGGAGUGGAGGGCCCCCACUCCUGGGUGUCAAAUCAAGUGUGGCCUAAAGCUGCCUCCUUACAUAUUUUAAGUUCGGCCUAGAGGUUUCUCUGUACGUGGUGAGCUAUAACCUAAGCGGAGUUGUACACAGACUGUAGCCUAUACUUGCGCCAAUCACCGAGAUUUGGCCACUCAGACGUAGCCGGUUGUUUGAACCCUGUUAAAACUACCUCCACUUAAUGAAUGGUGAAUGUACUUUCUCUUCCUUAUGGUUUCCUGAAUAUCAUUUUCUUUUCUCCACCUUCCUUCUUUGGGAGAAUACAGUAGAUAAUGCAUAGAACAUAGAAAAUAUGUCUUCAUCAGCUUUUUAUGUUGUCAGUAAGACUUUGGUCAACAGUAGGCUAUUCAUAGUUACAUUUUGGGGAAACAAAAAGUUAUAUGUGGAUUUUCAACUGUGUGAAGGCUCAG